rnacentral:misc_RNA from 1 species
UUUCCGUAGGUGAACCUGCGGAAGGAUCAUUAAAGAGUAAGGGUCUUCGGGCCGGAUCUCCAACCCUUUGUUUAACUACCAUGUUGCUUUGGCGGGCCCGUCUCACGACCGCCGGAAGUUUGGCUUCGACCAAACUUCUGGCCCGUGCCCGUCAGUGGCCCCUUCAAAUUCUUGAUCAAGUAUGAUGUCUUAGUUAAAAACUUAAUAGUUAAAACUUUCAACAACGGAUCUCUUGGUUCUG